rnacentral:tRNA from 1 species
UCCUGCUGGCUCCGUGGUAGAGAAUCUGCCUGCAAUGCAGGAGAUGCAGGUUCAAUCCCUGGAGUAGGAA